AAGUGCUUGGGUUUGCGAGUAAAUCAUGUAGUUUUUGGUGAUAUAAGGAAAAUAUUGGAAGUGUUAUUUUAAUUGCAGAAAUAUUAUUUUGCCUUCAUGGCAAGCAUGAAAUGUUUUGGUACAAAUGAUACUCUAUUGAAAUUUUGAUAAUUAUUAAGAUUUUAAAUUAUUGUAUAUAAUUAAUUUUCACAUUUAUUGUUAUAUGUAUCAAUAUUUAUAUUUCAUUUUCAAAGUUAAUGUAAGAGUGAUAUGAUUCAAUGUAAUAUU
rnacentral:misc_RNA from 1 species